UACCCGAUCAGACAUAUGCCAGGAAAUUGUCAGCAAAGCACAGUCCCAGCCUUUGUGUGAACCGCCAGCACCCAAGAAGCGUAAAAACAAUUCCAACCUGAAAGUCUGUAAAAGGUCUGUCAGCUCACAAAAACACAAACAAUCCUGUUGUUACCCCAUUCCAGAACCGGUUCCUGGUCCAUCAACCAUAAACUUAAACCUUCAGUCAGAUUCAUAUUCAGAUGACUCUGACUCUGAUAUUGCUGACGAGGAUAAGUGCUGCGUUUGCAAGCAAUUUCAACCUGAAAAACUGAAAAAUUGUGUGUCCCUUGUGUUCACUAAAUGGGCACAGUGUGACUUCAAUGGCUGCAAACAUUGGACACAUCUCGAGUAUUGCUGCAAGCAGCGAGUCAUUCGGCGUAAUGACAUAUUCAUCUGUCCUUGUCAUGGCCAAUCAAGCACUGAAGAAUAAUAAAAUAAUAAAAUCAGUAUAAACAUGAUCAGUUUAGGUAGUUAAAUGUUUAAAGUUAUUAACUGUUUCAAGUUUUAUUGUUUUGGACCAAAAGUUAUGAACUAUACUGUAAUUGUGUACAUGGUUCGAAAGCUGGUGCUCUUAGGAGGCGGCCAUAUUGGAUUUUUUGUGACAGGGUGGUGGAAACUACCUAGCAUAUUUCAAAGUUAUGAAUUGGGAUAUACAUACGUAAAUUUAUGCAGGUGCGCGAGGCACACUGAAGACUAUAUAAGAUCUACAGAUAUUCCCUAUUCAAGAGUCGCCAGCGGAAUAUGGCGUCUGCCCUUGGAUGGCAGACCAAUUCGUUGUCACUUCCGGUGUGCGGGAAAGCGUACGCGCCAGUGGCACAGGCAAAGAGGUCAUUUUACAAAGGCAAAAUAAGAGUGGCGGUUGCUCAGCAAAAUAUCUCUCGUAUCCUAGCAACGAUAUCUGUUUAAUUCGGCGGCGUUGGGAUAGGCGUACUCAUAGGAGUUCCACAAUGUGCAACAAAGUGUAUUUCGACAAUGGACCCGUUUAUCAAACAAUUCGCUGUAAGAAAUCCGUUCGUACUUACUUUACAAAAGAACAUGCGCUCAUAAUAUUCAAAAGAGCAAGUGGAAAUGUUUGUGAAUUUCAAUGUAAGUUUUUUAACCUGUGAACAUUCAUCGUUGAGUUUGAAUUAUUUGUGGUAAAACCCGAAUCGGUAUUACUCUGUGUACAGUGACAGUUUUGUAAAUAUUUAAUGCAUGAAUAUUAAACCAUGACAGUUUUUUAGUGAAAAUCCAAGUAUGCAUAGUUUUGGUAUUACCAUCGCGUGAUAUACUCAGCCUCAAAGAUACAAUCUUCCUAGUUUUGUUUGUUUCUGCUCGAUAUGAACCCAUUAUUGGCACUGUCAAGACGACAGUGGUAAGGACACGUAUUUUCAACUUGCCUUGUGAAACAAUGCUAGAAAAUUCGAAAAAUGAAUGCAUAUAAAUUCGUAUGCUGUAAAAUGCUUUAGCACAUGUACUUAAAAGACGGUAACAGGGUAAAACGAACCAAUUAAAACACGUGACCAAAUAAACAAAGUACAAUAAUGCAAAAUCUUAUAAGUUUUUAAGUGUUGGUAAUUACAAUGGAUUUUUUCAUAGCUAUUGUGGGGUUGUUAAUGAGAUGAUGUUGUUUUAAGAGAAGAAUAGUGUUAUUUAUUUGACGAUCAUGUCAAUCAACAUGUAUAUUCAAAAAUCGUACAGACAUAUUUGAUAAUUUAACUCAAGUUGUACGUUAGUGUAAAAAUAUGUGUAUAAUAAU